GAUGAACGCUGGCGGCGUGCUUAACACAUGCAAGUCGAACGGAAAGGCCCUGCUUUUGUGGGGUGCUCGAGUGGCGAACGGGUGAGUAACACGUGAGUAACCUGCCCUUGACUUUGGGAUAACUUCAGGAAACUGGGGCUAAUACCGGAUAGGAGCUCCUGCUGCAUGGUGGGGGUUGGAAAGUUUCGGCGGUUGGGGAUGGACUCGCGGCUUAUCAGCUUGUUGGUGGGGUAGUGGCUGACCAAGGCUUCGACGGGUAGCCGGCCUGAGAGGGUGGACGGGGACAAUAGGACUGAGGUACGGCGCAGUCGGCUACGGGAGGCAACAGUGGGGAGUAUGGCACAGUGGGCGGGAGCGUGAUGCGGCGGCGCCGGGUGCGGGAUGACGGCCUUCGGGUUGUGAACCGCUUUCGCCUGAGACGAAGCGUGAGUGACGGUAAUGGGUAAAGAAGCACCGGCUAACUACGUG
rnacentral:rRNA from 1 species